AAAGUGGUGGCCGAGUUAAUAAGCGCUAGAUUGUAAAUCUAGAAACGAGAGUAUUCUCCCCCUUUA
rnacentral:tRNA from 1 species